rnacentral:rRNA from 1 species
UACAUGGGGUGCAAACGUUGCUCGGAAUUAUUGGGCGUAAAGCGCGCGUAGGCGGUUACUCAAGUCGGAUGUGAAAGCCCUUGGCUUAACCGAGGAAGUGCAUCCGAAACUGGCGAGCUAGAGUACUAAAGAGGAUCGCGGAAUUCCCGGUGUAGAGGUGAAAUUCGUAGAUAUCAGGAGGAACACCGGUGGCGAAGGCGGGUCUCUGGGCCGAAACUGACGCUGAGGAGCGAAAGCGUGGGGAGCAAACAGG